rnacentral:rRNA from 1 species
AGCAGCCGCGGUAAUUCCAGCUCCAAUAGCGUAUAUUAAAGUUGCUGCAGUUAAAAAGCUCGUAGUUGAAUUUCGGGACUAAUAUGUCGGUCGUGCCUCGGUACGUACUGGUUUAUUGGUUUCUCCUUUCUGAAGAACCAUGAUGUCAUUUAUUUGGUGUCGUUGGGGGAAUUCAGGACUGUUACUUUGAAAAAAAUUUAGAGUGUUUUAAAGGCAGGCUCACGCUUGAAAUACAUUAGCAUGGAAUAAUGAAAUAGGACGUUUGAUUCUAUUUUGUUGGUUUCUAGGAUCGACGUAAUGAUUAAUAGGGAUAGUUGGGGGCAUUAGUAUUCAAUUGUCAGAGGUGAAAUUCUUGGAUUUAUUGAAGACUAACUACUGCGAAAGCAUUUGCCAAGGAUGUUUUCAUUAAUCAAGAACGAAAGUUAGGGGAUCGAAGACGAUCAGAUACCGUCGUAGUCUUAACCAUAAACUAUGCCGACUAGGGAUCGGAUGAUGUUAAUUUUUUCAAUGACUCAUUCGG